GACACAGGAGAUAUGGAGUGAAUAUGUUAUGGGAGAGGGAAUAGCGGGGAGAAACCACAAGGGACAGACAUUAUGGAAGAGAUUAUGGGAAAAUUGAAGGUGGGGGAGAAUAUGGAGAGUGUAGCAGAAAAUGGUGGAGAGAUGCGAAGGCCGAGACAGGCCGUGAGAGGGAGAAUAUGGAGUAAAAUGAAGGUGUGGGGAGAGAAUAAGGAGAGAGGGAUAUGGAAACAGUCAAAAGACAAUGGUGGACAAAAUUUGAAGAGAGGAACAGAGUGUAUCUUUUCCCUCAACCCAGACUCUCUGUAUGUCUUUCUCCC